UGGGGUGCAAACGUUGCUCGGAAUUAUUGGGCGUAAAGCGCGCGUAGGCGGUUACUCAAGUCGGAUGUGAAAGCCCUCGGCUUAACUGAGGAAGUGCACCCGAAACUGAGUAGCUAGAGUACUAAAGAGGGUCGCGGAAUUCCCGGUGUAGAGGUGAAAUUCGUAGAUAUCGGGAGGAACACCGGUGGCGAAGGCGGCGACCUGGGUAGAUACUGACGCUGAGGCGCGAAAGCGUGGGGAGCAAACAGGAUUAGAUACCCUGGUAGUCCACGCCGUAAACGAUGGGUGCUAGAUGUUUCUGGUAUUGACCCCGGAGGCGUCGUAGCUAACGCGUUAAGCACCCCGCCUGGGGAGUACGGCCGCAAGGCUA
rnacentral:rRNA from 1 species